rnacentral:siRNA from 1 species
AACACAACCGUUUAGAAAUGCAAA